GACGUCGAAUAUCGACGUCAUAAACACCAAAGUUGAUCGUGUUUAUGACGUCAAAUAUCGACGUCAUAAACACCAAAUUUGAUCGUGUUUAUGGCGUCGAAUAUCGACGUCAUAAACACCAAAGUUGAUCGUGUUUAUGACGUCGAAUAUCGACGUCAUAAACACCAAAGUUGAUCGUGUUUAUGACGUCGAAUAUCGACGUCAUAAACACCAAAGUUGAUCGUGUUUAUGACGUCGAAUAUCGACGUC